AGGGUUCCUGCUUAAAGCUAAUCUGAGCAGGGUGAGCCGACCCCUAAGGCGAGGCCGAAAGGCGUAGUCGAUGGGAACCAGGUUAAUAUUCCUGGGCCAGGAGGAAGUGACGGAUCGUAGCUGUUGUCAGGCCUUAUCGGAUUGGUCUGGCCUCGAAGCGGUUCCUGGAAAUAGCCCUCCAUGAGAUCGUACCCUAAACCGACACAGGUGGACUGGUAGAGCAUACCAAGGCGCUUGAGAGAACUGCGUUGAAGGAACUCGGCAAAAUGCCUCCGUAACUUCGGGAGAAGGAGGCCCCCGUCUGCGGGCAACCGUGGGCGGGGGGCACAAACUAGGGGGGUGGCGACUGUUUUACUAAAAAACACAGGUCUCUGCGAAGCCCAAAGGCGACGUAUAGGGACUGACGCCUGCCCGGUGCUGGAAGGUUAAAGGGAGGGGUGCAAGCUCCGAACUGAA
rnacentral:rRNA from 1 species